rnacentral:sRNA from 12 species
UUGCAGCAAGCGCAGGGUUUGUAGAGGUCGCCCCUUGGGCGUCAAGCCGAAAGGCCCGGAUCCUCGAACCUGGGGCUGCAACCUUC